AUGGCUCAAUGUCUAGUUAGCGGCCAGUAUCAAGCGGAGUGCCCCAAGCGUCAGUCCUGGGGCCGGUUUUGUUCAACAUCUUCAUUAAUGAUCUGGAGGAUGGCAUGGAUUGCACCCUCAGCAAGUUUGCAGACGACACUAAACUGGGAGGAGUGGCCUGCACUCCAGGCGCAUUUUGGACACUGUGGUGUCGGAGCCUGCCCCGGGGUUGCCCUGGUACAGCUGUGUUGUGUAUGUGGACGAUCAGCUCACCUAUGUCUACACCAGUGGGACGAAGAGGGCGGAGCCCUACACACUGUGGAUGGCGCAGAACGAGGGUUCGGAGUUCUGGGACGAGGUGACCUGGUGGGGACAGCGCUUCCAGAAAUGGUACAAUUCGUGUCUGAACACCCUGAGUCAGCUCUACAACCGGACCGAGGGUGAGUGAGGGAUGCAGGGAAAUGGGGUGGGGGUUGGGAGUGUGGUUGAUGUAAACAGGGUGAAGGGACACCGGGAUGUGUGUUGGAGAUGGGGGGAGGGGACAGAGCCCGAAGGCGCAUUUUCUCGCUGGAGUCAGUGUGAAUGUGGGGGACAAAGGGAUAUGGGAUGGGGGGAGGGGCUGCAGGAUGGAGGGUCCAUGCGAAAGAAAUUUUUUUGACACCCUCCAAAGUGGGACUCUCAGAUUGUCCCCUCCCCAAACAGCCCAGACUUCUGCUACCAGUCCCACUUGCAGCUGCCUCUGCUGCCCUUCGGGGGGGCCCCCUCCCACCCCCGCCCUUUCCCAGACAUAUAUUUCCCAGACAGAGUGGCAAAGGUGCAAAAGCCAGAAGUUCCCAGCAGACCCGGCUAAUCCGACUUCCUGGUGACACAGGCCAGAGAAUCGCACCCAGCGAUUUCUGGACUGGGGGUUUGUUCCUCCUGGCUACAACAGUGACUCUGUCACACCCUAGAACUAGAACAGGGUUCUGAGACGUCUUGUCUCAAUUCCCAGAUAUCGAGUGAUGGGGAACCCCAAUAUCGACAGCCCCAAGUGUUCAGACAUCACGAGUCAGACCCCCAAAAUCCUGAGUUUGGCUUAAGCGUUGUAAGUAUUUGGGGAAUAAUAUUGGAGCUUAUUUUUAUUUGCCCUCUGGUUUGAGGCCUUAGGGGACACAUUUCUGGGGUUUUCCCUGCUGCUAGAAAGACUAGAAGUUACUGCUGUAAGAAAAGAGAGCUGAGACUUUCCCCUAAUCCCAUGAGUCCAGGAACUGGGGAUUUAUUAAAACCACCCACUAUCAUGAAACGCACAGUAAAGUCACAAGAGCAGGCCGUGCUGCAUUCACCCCAGCCCUGGGGAGAAGCUGCUCACCAGUGAGCCUCCUUCAUUGUUCACUUUGUCUUAUUUCCAGAGUGAGUUUUUCUCAGGUCAGACUCCGCAGAGUGUCAUCAACUUGGGCUGGAGAGU
rnacentral:lncRNA from 1 species